rnacentral:misc_RNA from 1 species
ACCAAGAUGUAAAGUAAAGAAGAACAAACAAUUACUAAAUCCAUGUGAAAAAAAGGAACAAACAUUAGGAAAAAAAAUAGUGACCUGUUUGGAUUGCCUUGAUUGAAUGGUAAUGCUCUUUGGUAAUCAAUCCAUCGCAUUAUUAUUUCUGUGUUCGUUUGUAUGUAAGAUUUUGUGACCGUUGGUAUGAGGUUUAGGCUGCUUGUAAUUCUUCUAAAAUGGAAUUUGUGCCACUGGGAGCUUUAAAAUAGUUAAUUUUUGCUGAUAAUAAUUGGUUGCAGCAUUUAUGGAGAGUUGGACUGUAUUUAUAGCUUGAUAUGUCUUUGGGUCUACAGAAUCGAGCCUAGACAAAAAAA